UCGCACUGUGGUGGAUUCUCGAAUGAAACGUUUUCUUGAAUGGAAUAGGGAAUUGCAAUUGUUUCCCUUGAACGAGGAAUUCCCAGUAAGCGUGAGUCAUUAGCUCGCGUUGAUUACGUCCCUGCCCUUUGUACACACCGCCCGUCGCUACUACCGAUUGGAUGAUUUAGUGAGGUGUUUUGACUGGCGCCAGUAGUCGGAUAUGUAUUCGGCUUCGCGCCGGGAAAUUUCCCAAACCAAAUCAUCUAGAGGAAGUAAAAGUCGUAACAAGGUUUCCGUAGGUGAACCUGCGGAAGGAUCAUUA
rnacentral:ncRNA from 1 species